rnacentral:rRNA from 1 species
UACGGAGGGUGCAAGCGUUGUCCGGAUUUAUUGGGCCUAAAGCAUCCGUAGCCGGUUCUACAAGUCUUCCGUUAAAUCCACCUGCUUAACAGAUGGGCUGCGGAGGAUACUAUGGAGCUAGGAGGCGGGAGAGGCAAGCGGUACUUAGUGGGUAGGGGUAAAAUCCGUUGAUCCAUUGAAGACCACCAGUGGCGAAGGCGGCUUGCCAGAACGCACUCGACGGUGAGGGAUGAAAGCUGGGGGAGCAAACCGG